rnacentral:lncRNA from 1 species
UUUUUUUUUUUUUUUUUUUUUUUUGGUCUUUUGAGAGCCACACCCACGGCAAAUGUUCCCACGCCAGGGGUUGAAUUGGAGGUGCAGCUGCCAGCCUACUCCACAGUCACAGCAAUGUCAGAUCCAGGCCUCUGUCUGCAACCUACAUCACAGCUCAGGGCAACCCUGGCUCCUUAACCCACUGAGUGAGGCCAGGGAUCGAACCUGCGUCCUCAUGGAUUCUAGUCAGGUUCGUUACCUGCUGAGCCACCUCAGGAACUCCUGACAAGAGAAUUUAGGACAAGUGGGUUCUUUGGGGAAGAACUAUCUGCUUUUAAGCAGAUCAGAGAUUUCAGGAACUCAAAUGCAUCCUUCACGAAAUAAUUUUAAUGCCACACAAUAGCUUAUUCCAGACCCCUUUAAGUGUCAAGACUAUAUAACAACAAAGGAGAGAGACUGGGCUCAACUCUUAAUACAAGGGUAAGUGGGGAUUUAUAACAAAACCAAAAAACUUUUGUGCUUCAAAAGGUAACACCAAGAAAGUGAAACUAUCAAGGAGUUCCUGUCGUGGCUCAAUGGUUAACAAAUCCAACUAGGAACCAAGAGGUUGCAGGUUCGAUCUCUGGCCUUGCUCAUGGGUUAAGGAUCUGGCUUUGCCUCAGCUGCAGCUUAGGUUGCGAUUGCAGCUCGGAACUGAUCCCUGGCCCAGGAAUGCCACAUGCCGUGGGAUGGCCAAAAAAUGGGGAAGAAAAAAGAAAAAGAAAAAAAAAAACCUCUAAGAGUUUCAAAUAAAAUCAGAUAUCAAAGAAAAAGAAAAAAAUGAGAAGGAUCUUCACUAAACCAAAAGCAAUAAGCAUAAAGGAGAAGAGAGAGUGUGAGAAAGAACAAAAAUAGUAAAUUUAAUUACUAAUUGGAGAGAGAAGAAAAAACAAUUAAGGAAUGAAAUCAGGAACGAGGUCAAACUUCUUAUGUUAAUUUGGGAGUAACCAACACUGAACAGAAGCCAUAGAAAUAAAUGACAUUAUGUAAGAAAAGCUCAGAAAGGAGGUGGGGGGAAAAAUACCAUGGAGUAAUUUUCCCUCAAAGUGAAAUGUUCCUAUAUAAUAUAAGCAAUUCACACCAGUAAAAUCCAUAAUUAUUAUAUUAGGAAACUAACCAUAAAGGUUAAUACUACUUGAUGAAAAAAAUUAUAAAAGGGUAAUAAUUUCAGCCUCAUUUAAUGUUUUCAAUAAGAGAGCUUUUAAAAGGUUCAGACUAAAAGUAGCAUGGUGUAUUAAUGAGAGGAGAAGAAAUAACAACUUACUGAGUAUCCGCCUAGCCUAUACCCACAGUUCCAAACAUUUAAUGUACAUUAGUUCAUUUAGUCAUCACCCACAACCUUGCAAGGUAAGCAAUCUCCUUCUCUCGAAAGUGAGGCACAAAGAGGUUAAGUAAUUUAAAGGUCUGGCACAAGGACUCUAACACAGAUAGUUCCAGAGCCCACAUGUUUUACCCCUGUACUGGCUCUAAAAGGCAAUUAUUAAAUUUUCAAAGCAAGGAAAAGAAAAAGAAAAAAAAAAGUCUUGCUUCAAAUGUUGGAUCUACCACCAACCUUGGCAUAUUGGUAACUUAAGACAACCCAGUCUGUCUCCUUAGCUGUAAGAAGGAAAUAAUGACAGUAUCACAGGAUUACUGUGGUUAUUUUAGUCAUGAAUAUAAAACAGCUAAUUAUUACCAAGUAAUAAUAAUAAUAAACAUAAUAAUAAUAAACAUACUGGCAUAUAUUAAGACACUACCUUAGACACUUUACAUAGACUUUUAUCUAAUCUUCAAAAUUGUCUCAAAAGGUAUCAUUACUCCCCUAACCAUCUUUACAAGUUAGGAAGCAGAUUCAAAGAUAUGAAGAGAUUUGUGCAUAAGCACGCUAUAUGGUAGAAUGAUUAUAAAAUGGGCCCAAUUCGCCACCCUUCCUGUAUCCACACCCCCAGCAAUGUGACACUGCAGCCCCUCUCCUCAAGGCACAGUUACUUUCCUUACAUCUUAAAUCUUGUCUGGCCUCAUGACUUGCCUGGAACCAACAGAACAUGGCAGAAUUAAUUAACAGUUAAGGAAUGAAAUAAGAAAUGAGGUCAAAAAAUUCUAAGUGUAGACCUCAAGAGAUCUCCUACGUUUCUACUACCUCUUGGAAUCCUGUGGCCACCAUGUGAACAAGCCCAGACUUGCCUGAUAAAUGAUGAGAGACGUGUGCCUCAGUAACUCUCCAUCAUCCAGCAGAGAGCCAGCCUAUGGCCAGAAAUGUGAGAAGCCACCAUAGACCAGCCAGCUUCCAGCCAACCUGUCAGGUGGCCAGAUAGAAAUGCAAUCCUAGAUGAAAUCAGCUCAGCUGAAUUGAGCCAAAUUUAACCCAGAUGAUCAGAACCAACCAUCUGAUCUACAGAUUCAUAAGUAAUAACAUACACUCAUUUUAAGCCACUGAAGGUUUUGUGGGGCUUUUUGGGGGGGUGGGGGGAGAGCCAUGCACAAAGUAAUAGUUAACUGAAAUUCACGGUAGGCAGAAGAGCUGGGAUUUAAAGCCAGGCAGUCUGACUCCAAGCUCAUCCUCCAAAUCACUACAUUAUUAUGACUUCCAGUUUCAGAGUAGAUAGGACAUGGAAUGCUACUACAGUAUUUUCAUUAGUGAAAAAGAACUCGUUCACACCUACUGUUUUAUAUUCUUUAAAGUUAAUUUUACUCUGCGGCGCAGCAGGUUAAGGAUAUGGCAUUGAUGCAGCAGUGGCGCAGGUCACAGCUGAGCUGCCUCAGCUACAGCUCAGAUUCAAUACCUAGUCAGGGAACUUUUAGGCCACAGGUGCAGCAAAAAAAAGGAAGAAACAGUAAUUUAUAAAAGCCGGAAAAUAGGGAGUUCCCAUCGUGGCGCCGCAGAAACGAAUCUGACUAGGAACCAUAAGGUUGCAGGUUCAAUGUGUGGCCUUGCUAAGUGGUUGAGGAUCCGGUGUUGCCGUGAGCUGUAGUGUAUAGUUCGCGGACGCUGCUGUGGCUGUGGCAUAGGCCAGCAGCUACAGUUCCAAUUAGACUCCUACCCUGGGAAUCUCCAAAUGCCAUGGAUGCAGUCCUAAAAAGACAAAAAGACCAAAAAAGAAAAAAAAAAAAAAAAAAAAAAAAGCUGACAUAGUAAAUGUAACUCUUGCUUCCUCCUUUAAGUAAACAAAAAAAUCCAAAAAGCCUAUCAGAUCUAGAAUCAGAACUCAACUGCUACCAAUCACCUGUCCAUUAUUAAAUACUGGAUGAUAAUUUUUUUUAAAUUACAUGUGCAUUUUUUAUAUAUUUACCCUUCCUCCAAAAUAAAUAUUUUUGUAUAGGUUAUCCUAACUCCCCAAGUAUUGUGAAAUGUACCUAUAUUAACCUGUAUUAACUCAAGCUUAAUUUAUAUCUCACUCAACUGAUUUACUUUGCUUCCAAUUCAUUGACAUAUAUAACAUGCCACAUCAUUUACCCACUGUAUGAAUCUAUGCCCAUACAGUUUCUUUGGCAGUUCUUAGUUUUCACCAACAGAUGCAGUAAUGGUUCCAUUAAAACUGAAAGUUGAGACUGCCACCCAGCCACUUUGGAUUAUUUGUGCCAAUGAAUCGACAGACCAAAAAGGGGGUUACAGAAAUUGACUAGGAUGACUGAUCUUACAGGCAAGGGGCUGUACUACACAAGAGGGGCUAAGAAAAAAUAUGUCUGGAAUGCAAAAGUUCCUCUGGGAGGCCACUUAGUAUUUCCAUGUACUGCGAUUAAAGUCAGUGGAAACUAUCCAGGCAGAACUGCUAAUGACCCAGACCCUUAAGGAAUGAAGAUUUAGGUCACCCUACCAGGCAAGAAACCACAAUCAGCUGAGGUACUGCCAACAACAGAGGGAAUGUGGAAUGACAGCAGAAGGCAAUUAUAGACAGCAACUACAACCAAAUGACUAAUUGCAGAAAUGAAAAUUCUAAUGAGUAUUUCUUCCUUUUAUGACAUAAAAAAGUUAUAUAUAUAUUUACCAAUGUUUUUUCUUUUUCUUCUUUGGCCACCAGCAGCAUAUGGAGUUCCUGGGCCAGGGAUCAGAUCCGAGCUGCAACUGCAACCCAAGCCACAGUUGGGAAGACCAGAUCCUUAACCCACUGGCCAGGCUGGGGAUUGAACCUAUGUCCCCGCAUACCCAAAAUGCCACUGAUCCCGCUGUGCCACAGCAGGAACUCCACCUAUUUAUUUAUUUAUGUAUGUACAUAUGUAUGUAUUCAGUUAUUUUGCUUUUUAGGACGGCACCCAUAGUACAUGGAAGUUUCCAGGCUAGGGGUCGAAUUGCAGCUGCUACCCUACACCACAGCCACAGCAACUUGGGAUCCAAGCCACAUCUGAGACCUACACGACAGCUCACAGCAAUGCCAGAUUCCCAACCCACUGAGCUAGGCCAGGAAUCGAACCUGCAUCCUCUUGGAUACUAGUAGGAUUUGUUUCUGCUGCACCAAAAUGGGAACUCACACACCAAUUUAUUUCUAUCUCCCUUUCUAUAACCAUCUGACAGCAGCUAAUCUCAUAUCAUAUCUCCAUAUUUAAGUUAUAGGAUGUCAAGCAGAAAAUAUGAGUAGGUGCAGGCAAAAAAAAAAAUUAACCCAACUACGGAUAAAGGGAUUUUUUUAUCCUUUCUUAAGGAAUGGGUUUGUAUGUUAUUAGCUGAACAAAGGAUAGCUGCAUUACAUUUACCAUAAGUUCAGUUUUGCAAGUGUCUUUAUUAAAAUCAAAUAUGUUUAAAAGAGGUAUGCACUGGAUUUCUCAUUAUGGCUCCGUGGUAACAAACCCGACUAGUAUCCGUGAGGAGGCAGGUUCAAUCCCUGGCCUCACUCAGUGGGUUAAGGAUCCAGUGUUGCUGUGAGCUGUGGUGUGAGUCAGAGAUGUGGCUCAGAUCCGGUAUUGCUGUGGCUGCGGUAAGCUGGCAGCUGCAGCUCUGAUUCAACCCCUAGCCUGGGAACUUCCAUAUGCCAAAGGUGCAGCCCUAAAAAGCAAGAAAUUUUAAAAAAGAGGUGUGCAUUGGCGCCAUGGUGACAAGGGAUGACCUGUGAUGGCUUUUUAUCCUAGCUGGGUUGCAACUACAUUUUCCCGAAUACCAUUCCCUCCCUGCAUGGUUGUGGGUUAGGUCUGGCCUCAAAAAAAAAAAAAAAAAAAAAAAAAAAAAAAA